GUCACCUAUCCUUUCACCUUAAUUCAUGCUUUUGUCAAUUCUGUAAUUUAUUUAAGUUUAAUUUACUUCUUGUCAAAAAAACCAAACCCCCCCCCCCCCAUUAUUAAAUUAUAUUAUUUAGUUAGUGUUCAUUGUUGUUAGUCUUUUAAUUCAAUUUCCGUCCAUUUCAGUUCCUAGUGUCUAAAUUGAUUGUUUCCAUUACCAUUUGAGUCAUUCUAAGUGUGUUUCGAGUUAUUAGAGUUUUUAGCCUAGUUUUGUGUCCUUGAGUCUUAUUUAAUAUUUUUAAAUUAAUUUAGAAUAGAUUAGCAAUCCCUCCUAAUCCCCGGCCUAGAACGAUACCCUACUUACAUCUAUACUACAAUUGUCAAAAAGAGGGUUUAAUUUGUGUGUCAAGUAAUUCUCGCAUCACAUCUUUACCAAGAUCAAUAGUGAAGGAGAUGUCCUGUCUAAAUACAAUGAGCUAAGUACAACGAAGAGCAAAGUUCAACUUAGAUAUGGAAUUUCAGAUUCCAUAACCUCUUCAAGGGUCUCAUUUGGAAAUAACGUAUGGACAAUCAUAGGUAUACUCAAGGGUAACACAUUCGGGGUGUAGUUCAACUGGUAGACCAAAAUAUCAUCAGAACAAUGCUUCAACUUCAAGUCAAGGCAUAAACGAGUUUUCCUAAGAUCCUUCAUCUCAAAUUCCAUCUUCAGGUGCGAGGUAGUUUUCUCAAGCUCUUACGGAGUCUUAGUGAGAUUCGUGUCAAGGACAUAAUUUGUAACUCUAGCAAUUUGGAAUAAGACUUCAUAGUUUAACACACAAGGGCAUAAUUCAUCCCUGACUGGUCAAAUAAUCACUUAGACGGGUAUACCACAUCCGUCGGAUUUUUCAAUCCAUAAGUGAACACCUCAAAACGAGUUAAAAGGGUGUUCCGUGGUUUUGGAACUAUUUGAAACAGUCCAUGUAAUUCUUCGAGAACUUACAUGUAAAUCUUCGUAUCUAUGUCCCCAUGGAUAAAACACUAACCACAUUUCAUAAUGCUACUAUCAAUCACAUGACGUUUGAGAAAAACCUUGCGAAGUAAGGCGUGCAUCAUAUUGCACUAUUUCAUUCAUCUCAUAACACUUCCUUUCCCACUUGUAACGUAACAGGGUUACCUUGAGCAGUGUAGGAAUGACAAGUCCAAUACACACUUUGGUAAGGAAUUUGACCUGGAUUGUAACUUUAGUUGUCCAAUCAGUUCUACGUUGUCAUUUAAUCAACGGAACACGAUUCGAUAUCAUCGCUUUUCAUUUAUGUUGGUAGCUACCAUAUAAGUGAAAACAUCAUCAAUGAUAAUCCCAUUUCAAUUCCAUUUAGCUCAUCCAAACUAAUAUAAUGGACCAAGAACUUUAAGUCUCGGGAGAAAUCCGGAUUAAUCUCAUGAUAAGGAAAUGAUUUGAAAUAACGAUCAAGUUUAGAUUCAUUAUUGUGUCGUAUCUUCCUCUUAUAGGGAAGUGAAUCCUACGAAUUGAAUGAUAUGUCAUGCUCCAGGCCAAGACAGAUUGAUUGGUUAUCCGUCGGUAUACCAGACCGUCCAUCAGGGGUGUCUAAACCGUCCAACAUGGGCGGCACACCCUCCAGGGAUGUUGACUCGACGUCCGUUAAGUACGUCUAUCCUUAUAGGCAUGUGCAGCUAGUAUAUGAUCUCGUCACUGUAGCUAGAUCAGAGGAAUGCGUCUGGAGCAACAUUCUGAAAACUAGAAUUCUUCGCACUUGUUUAUCACACUUUUGUGGUAUGGGGAUCGAGAUGAGAAAUAGUGGGCAAUGUCCAUGCAAAUUCGCGCCGUUCUACAGGAACGUUGACAUUCUUAUCUCCCCCUAGCGGUAGGAAAACUGUCUCAUUAAAGUGACAACACGCAAAUGAGCAGUAAAAAGAUCGCAUGCAAGGGCUCUAAGAGAGCGAAGAUGAAGGAGAAUCAUGAUCGACAAAAGUUACACCUUUUUUGAUGACCCAUGGUGGUACGUUGUGGCGGCACAACUUGGCACGUAGAAUGCACACCAAAUGCAUAAAUACAAAAAUCAUCAGGUUCGUACCCAGUAACCAACUAUAACAUCGUAUAGGUUGGGUGGCAAUAGGCCUCAAGGCAGACCAACAUAACUACGUACAAGGAUUGCAUAGCCCUAGGCAAAAACCGAAAACUUGGUACGUUUACCAAAAUUCGGGCGAUCAUUUAAAUUGCGCUUUAUGAUUACUAGGUGAGGCUCUUUAGGGUGAACAUGGGAAUUCAAUGUUCAAUUAUAAACCCAAAAUGAAGGGAAAAUUAUGAGUUUAGCAUAUGGGAUUUCUAAAUGACUAGCAUGCAUAUACAAUUCAAAAUUUAUAUACAUGAGCAACGGAAGCAAUUUAUCAAAUAAUAUCAAAGCUAUAGUCAUGCAAAUCCCCUUCAAGGUUCAUAGGUUUAUAUAUAAUGCAUCAAAACAUUUUAGUAAAGAACAAAGUGAAAGUUUAGUCUUAUACCUCUUGAUCUAGACUUGAGACCAAGGAUGGACCACCUCCAAGCCCUUUGUUCCUUGAAGUCCUUGAGCCUAGCCUCCCUCCUUGCCUCCUCCACUUUGUUAGUAAGAGUGCUCCAAGGUUCUCCUUUAGUCUCCAAAGGAGAAUACCUCUAAAUAUCCACACCCACUAGUGUAGUGAGAUGGAUGGAGGAAUAACCAAAAGGGUGAAAGAUUGUUAGCUAAAUCACCCUCUAGGUGGCCGGCCUUUGUGGUUUUAGAGAGAUGUUUUCUUUUGCCUCUUUGUUGUUUUAAAACACACAAAACCCUAAGGAUUAAAACUCUAUAAAGUUCCUUAUAUAAACAAAAAGAAACCUAGUCAACAACUUGACUAAAUAUCUCUCCCUCUCCACUUGCAAGGGCCGGCCCCUUUGUGUUGGUUUGGGCUUUGGGCUUUUAUUUAUUUCUAGUC
rnacentral:lncRNA from 1 species